AUUGAACGCUGGCGGCAUGCUUUACACAUGCAAGUCGAACGGCAGCGCGGGGCAACCUGGCGGCGAGUGGCGAACGGGUGAGUAAUACAUCGGAACGUACCCAGAGGUGGGGGAUAACGUAGCGAAAGUUACGCUAAUACCACAUACGUUCUACGGAAGAAAGUGGGGGACCUUCGGGCCUCAUGCUUUUGGAGCGGCCGAUGUCUGAUUAGCUAGUUGGUGAGGUAAAGGCUCACCAAGGCGACGAUCAGUAGCUGGUCUGAGAGGACGACCAGCCACACUGGGACUGAGACACGGCCCAGACUCCUACGGGAGGCAGCAGUGGGGAAUUUUGGACAAUGGGCGCAAGCCUGAUCCAGCAAUGCCGCGUGAGUGAAGAAGGCCUUCGGGUUGUAAAGCUCUUUUGUCAGGGAAGAAACGGCUGAGGUUAAUACCUUCGGCUAAUGACGGUACCUGAAGAAUAAGCACCGGCUAACUACGUGCCAGCCGCCGCCGUAAGAC
rnacentral:rRNA from 1 species